GCGAGUCGCAAAGCCGGGGAUCGAAGAACGAUUGAGAACUCAACGACUCAACUGAAUCGAAGGAGUAGGAGAACGAGGAGAACCGUUCACUCGCGAGCUGAAUCGAAGAGCAACGGAAUCGUUUGCUCUCAAACGGUGCACUGGUUCUUGGGGAGCACAAGGAAACGGGCUCCGUGAUUGGCAUGGAGUCGGAAAAACGAACUUGAAAAGUAUAGCGGUUCGUUACCAUGAAAGAUGCAGAUAAGCUAGGGUGAAUCGCUAACUGAAACUGAGGUAAGUAACGCUGCACGAAACUGUUUUCACUGUUUUGCUCGCAAUUAUUAUAAUUUGAAUAGUUGCAGUUGACGCUCGGCGGAGGAUAAGUUGGCUGUAUACUUUCUGAAACAAAUUCCCCAUGAUCAUUGGGAACUGUUAUAUUUGUCUUUCGGUGCUCUGGUCGGUAUUUCCAGUAUCCGCCGGCAGUAUAUGGUGAGUUCGCAUAAAUAACGCUUUCUUGCAGCGGUAAGCAAGAUCUGGGUAAUGUUGACAUUUUGCUCGUAAUCAUUGAAAAUUUGUAGUUCGAAUCUUUGCAGCACCUGCUCAGGAGAACGGUGAGUUUGCAUGAGUGGGACUGAUACCUUUUUGCAGUGAUGAUUUGAUUCAGACAUUGAUGUGUCAUGUAACUGAACGAGACUUUAAUUUCAGAAGCCUUCCAACAAAGGGCUCGCAAGCGUGACAUCGGAGAGCCCGUUACCAAUUACGGAAACUGUUUUAAGCUUCACGACUGCCGAGUGACACCGGAUGUGUUGCAGACAUUGCGAUGAGACCUUCAACGUGUUUGUGUUGUGUGCUCUCAGGAAACAAUCUCGGACGUGCGCACGUGUGUUGUAUAUGUAUCUGUGCAUAAUAUUGGAUACCACAUCCAAGGGUCGAUCCAGGACAGACACCUACAGCCUUCACCACGGUUACUUGGAAACGUACACGAUGUCACGAAGAGUGGAUUUAAGAAACCGAACCACACACCCUGGAUGGAAGUACUUAGAUCUUCA